GACGAACGCUGGCGGCGUGCUUAACACAUGCAAGUCGAACGGAAAGGCCCUGCUCUUGCGGGGUGCUCGAUUGGCGAACGGGUGAGUAACACGUGAGUAACCUGCCCUUGACUUUGGGGUAACUUCAGGAAACUGGGGCUCAUACCGGAUAGGAGCUCCUGCUGCAUGGGGGGGGUUGGAAAGUUUCGGCGGUUGGGGAUGGACUCGCGGCUUAUCAGCUUGUUGGUGGGGUAGUGGAUUACCAAGGCUUUGACGGGUAGCCGGCCUGAGCGGGUGACCGGCCACAAUGGGACUGAGAUACGGCCCAGACUCCUACGGGAGGCAGCAGUCGGGAAUAUUGCACAAUGGGCGGAAGCCUGAUGCAGCAACGCCGCGUGCGGGAUGACGGCCUUCGGGUUGUAAACCGCUUUCUCCUGUGCCGAAGCGUGAGUGACGGUAAUGGGUAAAGAAGCACCGGCUAACUACGUG
rnacentral:rRNA from 1 species